AAGUCUUGUCGGCUGGAAUCUGGAUCAAGCAGAGAGUGACGGUGGCCUGUAGAGUGAAUUCGCCUUAACCUGCGCUCAGGGAGCAGGAGGAACGUCUCCGGUGCCUGUGCAGAGCGCGGAAUGGACUGGUGGAACUGCUACAAGAUCCAGCCCAUUCGGACUUUGCAGUACUUUAAGAGAUAUUGGCAGUCCCGAGUCUGAAAACUGGAAGACAGACAGACCAUUCCUUGUUCCUGAAGGACACAGAUACCAACGUUGACAUGGAAUUUCGGUGCAGGUAUUCAGCAUCGUCGGCAUCCUGUGCAAAAGGAGAGCACACCGUAACCAACAAACCCAAACACACUGCUCGACCAUCACAUCGAACUACAGAAAAUAUUGUGUACCUCUGUGGGAAGGGGCAUCGGAGGCCGUACGUGGCUUGGUGGAGGAGGCGCUGGUGAAGAACCUUGAAAGACGUUAUUCAUCAUAGAAGCAGAGAACAGAAAAUGUUAGAUAUACUGGUUCUAAUUCCCUGUACUACAUUAAGUGAGCAGGUACUGGGAAAACUAAAUGCAUCCCUCAUCCCUGCAACAAAUUCUGCUCUUUAGACACCACCUUUAUCCUUUGGCAACAGCUGAUGCUGAACCAGAGACCAUGUGUCAUAUGUGGCCCCAGGCUGAGCUUACCCAUGCCUUAACUAAGAUGCUAUUCCUAUUUCAACAAUCUUGCAGAAUCUGAUUUAUUAUCACUGACUUAGAUGAUGUCUAAUUUGUUGUUUUGCUGCACCGUAAGAGCAGAAUUAGGCCAUCUGGCCCAUUGAGUCUUCUCCUCCAUUCCAUCAUGGCUGAUUUAUUUUCACUCUCAGCCCUAUUCUCCUGCCUUCUCCCAGUAACCUUUGACAUCCUGACUAGUCAAGAACCUAAAGCCUCUGCUUUAAAUAUACCCAACAACUUGGCCUCCACAGCCGUCUGUGACAAUGAAUUCCACAGAUUCACAACCCUCCGGUUAAAGAAAUUCCUCCUCACCUCUGUUCAAAGGGGAUGCCCCUCUGUUCUGAGGCUGUGUCCUCUGGUCUUAGACUCCCCCAUCAGAGGAAACAUCCUCUCCAUGUCCACUCUAUCUAGGCCUUUCAAUGUUCAGUACCUUCCAAUGAGAUCCUCCCCUCAUCCUUCUAAACUCCAGCGAGGAUAGAGCCACCAAAUGCUCCUCACAUGUUAACCCUUUCAUUUGCAUGAACCUCCUCCAGAUGCUCUCCAAUGCCAGCACAUCUUUUGCUAGAAAUGGGGCCCAAAACUGCUCACAGUACCGCAAAUACAGCCUGACCAAUGCCUUAUGAGGCCUCAUAAAUAGAAAUAAAUAGUGCAAAAAAAUAGGAAUAACAAGGUAGUGUUCGUAGCUUUAUGAACAUUUCAACAACUUGAUGGUGGGUGGGAAGAAACUGUUGUUAGGUCCUGCCCUGUCUCAGAAUUCUAUCUACCAAUGUACCCAUCACUUAUAUCAGACAUUGGCCUGUAGUUUCCUGCUUGUUUUUCCUACUCUUCUUAGACAAUGUUACCACAUUAGCCACUGUCACCUGUGGCCAAAGAUAAAGGAAAAAUUUUUACAAGGGUAUCUGCAAUUUUUUCUCCAGCUUCCUGCAAGGUCUGAGAAUGCACCAGGUCAAGCCUGGAUCAGAAUCAGGUUUAUUAUCUCCGGCAUGUGACGUGAAAUUUGUUAACCUAGCAGCAGAAGUUCA